GACAGAGGUGCCGAGCGUUAGGCGGAAUCACUGGGCUUAAAGCGUGUGUAGGCGGAUGCCUAAGUACCUUGUGAAAUCCCACGGCUUAACCGUGGAACUGCUUGGUAUACUGGGUGUCUUGAGCCACUUAGGGGCGACCGGAACAAACGGUGGAGCGGUGAAAUGCGUAGAUAUCGUUUGGAACGCCAAUGGUGAAAACAGGUCGCUGGGAGUGCGCUGACGCUGAGGAACGAAAGCGUGGGGAGCGAACAGG
rnacentral:rRNA from 1 species